UAAUAUAUUGAGGCUAUGGGGUAGGAGAAA
rnacentral:piRNA from 1 species